rnacentral:rRNA from 1 species
AAGCUCGUAGUUGAAUUUCGGGGUCAGUAGGUUGGUCGUGCCACCGGUACGUACUGAUCUCACUGAUUCCUCCUUCCUGAUGAGCUGUAAUGCCAUUAAUUUGGUGUUGCAGGGAAUCUGGACUGUUACUUUGAAAAAAUUGAGUGUUUAAAGCAGGCUAACGCUUGAAUACAUUAGCAUGGAAUAAUGAAAUAGGACGUUCGAUCCUAUUUUGUUGGUUUCUAGGAUUGACGUAAUGAUUAAUAGGGAUAGUUGGG